CAGUGACAGCCUAUGAAGAUGGUGGCGGCGAUGACAGCAGCAGGCUGCUGUUUUCCUUUUGUCAUAGCUAGGUUUUGGUUUAUAGGAUUGGGUUACUGUGUUGAGCUUGUAAAGCUUUGGUUAACCAUGGAUUGUAUGUAUUUGAGCUGGGUUUCAAUAUGGUCUAGACUCUUGGUCUAUUUUAUUUAGCUCUUAUAAUUGGACUUGGCCC
rnacentral:misc_RNA from 1 species